GAUGAACGCUGGCGGCGUGCUUAACACAUGCAAGUCUAACUAUGAAGCCCAGCUUGCUGGGUGGAUUAGUGUAGAACGUGUGAGUAACACGUGAGUAACCUGCCCUUAACUCUGGGAUAAGCCUGGGAAACUGGGUCUAAUACCGUAUAGCAGCGCCUACCGCUUGGUGGUUGUUGGAAAGUUUUAUCGGUUUUGGAUGGACUCGCGGACUAUCAGCUUGUUGGUGAGGUAAUGGCUCACCAAGGCGACGACGGGUAGCCGGCCUGAGAGGGUGACCGGCCACACUGGGACUGAGACACGGCCCAGACUCCUACGGGAGGAAGCAGUGGGGAAUAUUGCACAAUGGGCGAAAGCCUGAUGCAGCGACGCCGCGUGAGGGAUGAAGGCCUUCGGGUUGUAAACCUCUUUCAGUAGGGAAGAAGAGAAAGUGACGGUACCUGCAGAAGAAGCACCGGCUAACUACGUG
rnacentral:rRNA from 1 species